rnacentral:rRNA from 1 species
AAUAUUGGACAAUGGGGGCAACCCUGAUCCAGCCAUGCCGCGUGUGUGAAGAAGGNCUNNGGAUUNUNAAGCACUUUAAGUUGNNNNNAAGGGCUUUAGGCUAAUACCCUGAAGUUUUGACGUUACCAACAGAAUAAGCACCGGCUAACUUCGUCCCAGCAGCUGCGGUAAUACGAAGGGUGCAAGCGUUAAUCGGAAUUACUGGGCGUAAAGCGCGCGUAGGUGGUUUGUUAAGUUGGAAGUGAAAGCCCCGGGCUCAACCUGGGAACUGCUUUCAUAACUGCUGAGCUAGAGUACGGUAGAGGGUAGUGGAAUUUCCUGUGUAGCGGUGAAAUGCGUAGAUAUAGGAAGGAACACCAGUGGCGAAGGCGACUACCUGGACUGAUACUGACACUGAGGUGCGAAAGCGUGGGGAGCAAAC